rnacentral:rRNA from 1 species
AUACGGAGGAUCCGAGCGUUAUCCGGAUUUAUUGGGUUUAAAGGGUGCGCAGGCGGCCAUUUAAGUCAGCGGUUAAAUCGUGGGGCUCAACCCCAUUCUGCCGUUGAUACUGGGUGGCUGGAUUGCGGUCGAGGUUGGCGGAAUUCGUUGUGUAGCGGUGAAAUGCAUAGAUAUGACGAAGAACACCGAUUGCGUAGGCAGCUGACCAGACCGCAAAUGACGCUCAUGCACGAAAGUGCGGGGAUCGAACAGGAUUAGAUACCCUGGUAGUCCGCACAGUAAACGAUGAAUACUUGUUUUCGGCGAUAUAAUGUCGGAGGCAAAGCGAAAGCGAUAAGUAUUCCACCUGGGGAGUACGCCGGCAACGGUGAAACUCAAAUGAAUUGACGGGG